GAUGAACGCUGGCGGCGUGCCUAAUACAUGCAAGUCGAGCGAACGGACGAGAAGCUUGCUUUUCUGAUGUGAGGGGCGGAGGGGAGUGUAACAGGUGUAACCCCUCCUUAUAAGACGGGGAUAAUUAGGGGAAACGGGAUCAAAUCCGGGAGAAUCUUUUGAACCGCAUGGUUCAAUGGUAAAAGACGGCCUUGCGGGAAGUACUAGCUGCAUCCGAGCUUCAUUGGCCAGUUGGUAAGGUAAAGGCUUACCAAGGCAACGAUGCAUAGCCGACCGGAGAGGGUGAUCGGCCACACUGGAACUGAGACACGGACCAGGCUCCUACGGGAGGCAGCAGUAGGGAAUCUUCCGCAAUGGGCGAAAGCCUGACGGAGCAACGCCGCGUGAGUGAUGAAGGUCUUCGGAUCGUAAAACUCUGUUAUUAGGGAAGAACAUAUGUGUAAGUAACUGUGCACAUCUUGACGGUACCUAAUCAGAAAGCCACGGCUAACUACGUG
rnacentral:rRNA from 1 species